rnacentral:rRNA from 1 species
ACUCAAAUGAAUAGACGGGGGCCCGCACAAGCGGUGGAGCAUGUGGUUCAAUUCGACGCAACGCGAAGAACCUUACCUGGGUUAAAUCCAUUCGAAACCUGCAGAGAUGUGGGCGUGCCCUUCGGGGAGCGAAUGAGAAGGUGCUGCAUGGCUGUCGUCAGCUCGUGUCGUGAGAUGUUGGGUUAAGUCCCGCAACGAGCGCAACCCUUGUCGUUAGUUGGCAUCAGUUCGGCUGGCCACUCUAACGAGACUGCCGGCGUUAAGCCGGAGGAAGGUGGGGAUGACGUCAAGUCCUCAUGGCCCUUAUGCCCAGGGCUACACACGUGCUACAAUGGCCGGUACAAAGGGCUGCUAACCCGCGAGGGGGAGCUAAUCCCAAAAAACCGGUCUCAGUUCGGAUUGGAGUCUGCAACUCGACUCCAUGAAGUUGGAAUCGCUAGUAAUCCCUGAUCAGCAGGCAGGGGUGAAUACGUUCCCGGGCCUUGUACACACCGCCCGU